rfam:Triticum urartu cultivar G1812 contig600210, whole genome shotgun sequence.
UAUGUACUCCCUCCGUUCCAAAUUACUCGUCGCGGAAAUGGAUGUAUCUAGAAUUAAAAUACAUCUAGAUACAUCCAUCUCUGCGACAAGUAAUUCGGAACCGAGGGAGUAAGUA